rnacentral:lncRNA from 1 species
CUACUUCUCCAUUGAUAGAUAGACAGAGAACAGAAAGAGAGAGAGAGAGAAACAGUGUGUGUUUAUGUAGCAAGGAGUAUAAUAUGGCCAAAUCAAAGUACUCCUCUAUAGUGCAGCUGCAUUUAAGAAAACCAAAUGAGAGGCCUCUCUAUGCUCACUUUCGCCUAUAAAUACUGCUUGGCCAAUCUCUCUUUCCCCCACAAGCACAGAGAAACACAGCCUUUACAUAAUAGUCAUAUUCGUUCCAACACCACCAUUUGAUUUUCUGCAGCUGCAAAAAAGUCUUGAGAGAGAAAAAUCAUCGUCAGUUCAUCACAAGAGACUACUAAAAGUAAGAUCUUUAUGUCCCUUUUCUUUAAUUUGUGGUUAUUUGCUUUGAGAAUUAGUAGUGUUAAGCAGUGAUUAAGCUUUGCUUGUGUUCAUGGAAUGAUAUGGAUGGGCAGGCAGGGCAGGUGAUUUUGGUUGAGCGACGGUGACUGUCACGGCGGCGUGAUGAGCAGGGGGAACG